rnacentral:rRNA from 1 species
UACGUAGGGGGCAAGCGUUGUCCGGAUUUAUUGGGCGUAAAGAGCGUGUAGGCGGCUUGACAGGUCUGCUGUGAAAACUCGAGGCUCAACCUCGAGAUGUCGGCGGAAACCGUCUGGCUAGAGUCCGGAAGAGGAGAGUGGAAUUCCUGGUGUAGCGGUGAAAUGCGUAGAUAUUGGGAGGAACACCAGUGGCGAAGGCGGCUCACUGGACCGGAACUGACGCUGAGGCGCGAAAGCGUGGGGAGCAAACGGG